GGUGCAGGCAAGAACGAGAGCGCGGCUCUUUGCAGGCUGUGUGCACCCGGCUGCCGCCAUGGGUGAUCAGGCUCUGAGCUUCCUCAAGGACUUCCUGGCAGGUGGCAUCACCGCUGCCGUCUCCAAGAUCGCAGUCGCCCCCAUAGAGAGAGUCAAGCUGCUGCUCCAGGUCCAGCAUACCAGCAAACAGAUCAGUGCUGAGAAACCAUACAAAGGGAUCAUUGAUUGCGUGGUGAGAAUCCCCAAGGAGCAGGGCUUUCUCUCCUUCUGGAAGGGUACGCUGGCCAACGUGAUCCGCUACUUCCCCACCCAAGCGCUCAACUUCGCCUUCAAGGACGAGUACAAGCAGAUCUUCCUGGGGGGUGUGGAUCGACAUAAGCAGUUCUGGUGCUACUUUGCCGGUAACCUGGUGGGGCAGCUGGGGCCACCUCUCUCUGCUUUGUCUACCCGCUGGACUUUGCUAGGACCAGGUUGGCCGCCAAUGUGGGCAAGGGUCCAGACCAGCGUGAGUUCACUGGUCUAGGCAACUGUAUCACCAAGAUCUUCAAAUCGGAUGGCCUAAGGGGUCUCUGCCAGGGUUUCAACGUCUCUGUCCAGGGCAUCAUUAUCUACAGGGCCGCCUACUUCGGUGACUAUGACACUGCCAACGGGAUGUUACCCAACCCCAAGAACGUGCACAUUAUUGUGAGCUGGAUGAUUGCUCAGACUGUGACUGCAGUGGCGGGGCUGGUGUCCUGCCCCUUUGACACUGUUCAUUGUAGGAUGAUGAUGUAGUCUGGGAUUACAGGAACAAUUGACUGCUGGAGGAAGAUUGCAAAAGGUGAAGGAGCCGAUGCUUUCUUCAAAGGUGCCUGGUCCAAUGUAUUGAGAGGCACGGGUGGUGCUUUUGUAUUGAUAUUGUAUGAUGAGAUUUUUAAAAAAAUGUCUAAUAUGUAGUAAAAACUCAAGUUC